GGAAACACACCCUGCACGUUCGCGAGUGGGCGGUGACAAAGAGAAGAGACACCCGGCAAUAGCACAGAAACGACAGUCG
rnacentral:ribozyme from 16 species